GGCUCAGAACGAACGCUGGCGGCGCGUCUUAAGCAUGCAAGUCGAACGGCAAGAGGUAGCAAUACCUCCUAGAGUGGCGGACUGGUGAGUAACACGUGGGUGACAUACCCUUCAGAUGGGGAUAGCUAUUAGAAAUAGUAGAUAAUACCGAAUACGAGCACAGGGGUUAGAGAUCUGUGAGGAAAGGAGCUAAGGCUCCGCUGAAGGAAUGGCCUGCGGCCCAUUAGCUAGUUGGUGAGGUAAGAGCCCACCAAGGCGAUGAUGGGUAUCCGGCCUUAGAGGGUGAACGGACACAUUGGGACUGAGAUACGGCCCAGACUCCUACGGGAGGCAGCAGCUAAGAAUAUUCCGCAAUGGACGAAAGUCUGACGGAGCGACGCCGCGUGGAUGAAGAAGGCCGGAAGGUUGUAAAAUCCUUUUGAAACUGAAGAAUAAGCGUUGUAGGGAAUGACAGCGUGGUGACAGUAGGUUUUGAAUAAGCAACGGCUAAUUACGUGCCAGCAGCCGC
rnacentral:rRNA from 1 species